rnacentral:lncRNA from 1 species
UCAAAGUUUGUACCGCUGGCAGGAAUUCCCGCACACAAAACCAGGUUUGUCCGCCAGUCGCCAGGGACACCGCUUCCUGACUCGGCUUGCGCCUGACAUCAGGCCGCGUCCUCAUCCACUUUUUCUGUCUCCCACCACCGAUUUUUUCUGGCCACUGCUUGACUCUUAACGCCCAAUUCUGCAGGAACCUUACGGACAUGGCUGUGAGGGUGAAAGGGGACGUGGAGGAGGGGCGAGUAAUGAAGUUUGGGCCGAAAUUCAUCAGGGUAUUCUCCACUCCAGAAUACGGGGAGCGAUUGGUGAGACCACAUUGCAUCUUGGUUAAACUAGAAGGGGAAACUAUUUAUUUGUUUCUGAAUCAUCUAGAAAUAUUAUUCCCUGUAGACCAACACUGUCGUAUAGCAUUCGAAACACACUAUUGUUGUUAUGAAGGUUGAAAAUAUGAACUUCGAACAUCUAGUUUCCAUGUAGAUUCAUUGAUAAGUUCUAAGAUUAUUUAAAUUUUGGAGUACCUAGAAUGAAUUAGAAAGCUAAUACGAUGUGUCACAUUCCUAGUCUUUAAUGCGUAGACAGAGCUCCU